rnacentral:lncRNA from 1 species
CGCCGAUGUACCGGUGCAUUGUAAACAUGUCCUCAUGAUCUAACGUGAAACCUUUCUAGUAAGGUAUAUGCAUCUUGCUCGUCUUCGAUAUUCGGCAAAGAUCUUUACGAGAUUAUCAAGUGUGAAGGUAUGCUCAGGAUGGGAUGGAGAACGAAGAAGUGGGUUACCAUUUUAUAUAUUGUAGCUAGGACACUGCCGGGUCGAUCGAGAACCACAAUGACAGUUCGUGGUUUGAGUUGGAAGAGUGAUAUUCCCCAAUAUUACUGCUUGUUGUUGGCUAUACUUACGAUGGAUUUAUAACCAUUGUCCGAAUAUUAGCCUUAUGAAUCCGGCAGUAAAGUGGAACCACUAUGAUUCAACGCAUAUGGGUCGGUAGGUAUUGCUGUCGCGAAGGGCUGAAGCCCUGAACUAGACAACUUUUUUUCUUUUUUUUUUUGCGAAAAAAAAACUAGACAUCUGAUCGAGGUGUUCGAAAUAAAUAUCAGAGGUAUGGAUAAUGUAGGGAGGCUGUCAGCCAUGGCCAUGGUAAUAGGCACGCGCGCGUGCAUGACCAUAGGAAGGUCUUGGUCACCAGUCGCCUGCACACCAGGCGAGAUGGCCUUUGUGGCCUGAUGCCCUGAUCCUUUCGGCUGCCUCCUCUGAACUCCUAUAAGCUACUAGCACGUAUGCCACAACUCACAUGCAUGAAGCAGCGAUGGGCAGGCUCAGGCAUGACAGCAUGAGGCAGAACCGUAGAACGGUAAAUGGACGUACAUUUGGCCGGUCCACCUUAAUUGACACGAUGGACGAAAGACAAUGUAAGCUUUUUUUUGAG